rnacentral:lncRNA from 1 species
UAGCCAACUUAUUCCUAUGUUAAAUAUCACAUAAAGGCAUCAUCCAACAGAUAAGUAUAGCUUUAAACACAAAAUCCUCAUUUAGGUUAUGAAAUCUCAACAAUUUUCUCUUUUUCUUGACCCAAAACAAAACCCACAAAUUAUUUGAGUGUCUAUUUACUCUUCAAUCUAUUGUUCUAUUAAUAGAUUUACCUGGGUCAAUAACUUAGUUUGAAACUAUUCAAAUUGACAAUAUUUGAUCUCUGGAU